rnacentral:lncRNA from 1 species
GUCUCUACAUUAUAUACAUAAUACAUUUCCUACUUUUACGAUUCAUAUUUUUACUGCUGUUUUAUUUUACUAUUUAUUUCACUAAAAAUUCUUAUUGGAACUAACCAAACUGAUUUUGUAACCUAUUUAUAGAGAACUACCUGUAAUUGGAGCGAAAAAAAUCUUCUUUUGGAAACUCCUUAAGAUAAAGUCUGCCUUACUGCACCCUACUGAGGUCUACCUGAAUGAAGGAAAAAGACUGUCCCGCGUAUUAAUUUCAACUAGAAAAGAGAUAAAGCGAAUUAAUUUUAAAAAUAUUUCUACU